rnacentral:rRNA from 1 species
CUACGGGCUGCUCCAGUGAGGAAUAUUGCACAAUGGGGGGAACCCUGAUGCAGCAACGCCGCGUGGAGGAUGACGCAUUUCGGUGUGUAAACUCCUUUUAUAUGUCAAGAAAAUGACGGUAGCAUAUGAAUAAGCACCGGCUAACUCCGUGCCAGCAGCCGCGGUAAUACGGGAGGGUGCAAGCGUUACUCGGAAUCACUGGGCGUAAAGGACGCGUAGGCGGGUUGGAAAGUCAGGUGUGAAAUCCUACAGCUUAACUUUAGAACUGCACUUGAAACUUCUAAUCUAGAGUAUGGGAGGGGGAGAUGGAAUUAGUGGUGUAGGGGUAAAAUCCGUAGAUAUCACUAGGAAUACCUAAAGCGAAGGCGAUCUCCUGGAACAUUACUGACGCUAAGGCGUGAAAGCGUGGGGAGCAAACAGGAUUAGAUACCCCGGUAGUC